GUAGUCAUAUGCUUGUCUCAAAGAUUAAGCCAUGCAUGUCUAAGUAUAAGCAAUUUAUACGGUGAAACUGCGAAUGGCUCAUUAAAUCAGUUAUCGUUUAUUUGAUAGUACCUUACUACAUGGAUACCUGUGGUAAUUCUAGAGCUAAUACAUGCUAAAAACCUCGACUUCGGAAGGGGUGUAUUUAUUAGAUAAAAAACCAAUGCCCUUCGGGGCUCCUUGGUGAAUCAUAAUAACUUGACGAAUCGCAUGGCCUUGCGCCGGCGAUGGUUCAUUCAAAUUUCUGCCCUAUCAACUUUCGAUGGUAGGAUAGUGGCCUACCAUGGUGGCAACGGGUAACGGGGAAUG
rnacentral:rRNA from 1 species